rnacentral:rRNA from 1 species
AGGGAAUUUUCCACAAUGGACGAAAGUCUGAUGGAGCAACGCCGCGUGAACGAUGAAGGUCUUCGGAUUGUAAAGUUCUGUUGUCAGGGACGAACAAGUACCGUUCGAACAGGGCGGUGCCUUGACGGUACCUGACGAGAAAGCCACGGCUAACUACGUGCCAGCAGCCGCGGUAAUACGUAGGUGGCAAGCGUUGUCCGGAUUUAUUGGGCGUAAAGCGCGCGCAGGCGGCUAUGUAAGUCUGGUGUGAAAGCCCGGGGCUCAACCCCGGUUCGCAUCGGAAACUGCAGGGCUUGAGUGCAGAAGAGGAAAGCGGUAUUCCACGUGUAGCGGUGAAAUGCGUAGAGAUGUGGAGGAACACCAGUGGCGAAGGCGGCUUUCUGGUCUGUAACUGACGCUGAGGCGCGAAAGCGUGGGGAGCAAAC